rnacentral:rRNA from 1 species
UACGGAGGGUGCAAACGUUUGCUCGGAAUCAUUGGGCGUAAAGCGCACGUAGGUGGCUUGUUAAGUCGGGUGUGAAAUCCCUGGGCUCAACCCAGGAAGUGCACUCGAAACUGGCGAGCUUGAGUACUGAAGAGGGUCGCGGAAUUCCCGGUGUAGAGGUGAAAUUCGUAGAUAUCGGGAGGAACACCAGUGGCGAAGGCGGCGACCUGGGCAGAUACUGACACUGAGGUGCGAAAGCGUGGGGAGCAAACAGG